CGUUUAUCAAUUCACUCGGUCAGUUACCUCGGUGGUGUUCCCUUGGGGACAAAAAAGGAAAAAAAGAAAGAAAAAACAAGGUUAGUCUCAACACGCGCGAGACUUAAGCAACACGAAAGGAUGAACGCAAGCCGAUGUUCCCGUUUUCUUUCCUGCCUCACUCUUCUGGCUUCCCUCGCGCUACUCCUCCCCGGCCCAACUCUGCCUGCAAACAUCAACAGAAGAACCAACUGGGAUAUAAGGACAGCCGGAACUCAACUAUUUGGCAAUUUCUUUACGUACAUGUCAUCUCUUUUCAACCUUAAUCCUCACCCCACCACGACCCUCAACACCGCCUACAACUCCCUCGAUGGCUGCCCUGAGUGGUGGCCAGCCGGUUUGUGUUUUCUUAUUAAUCCCACGCGCUACAGGAUCGACAGAUAACUUGAUCUUUCAGUCACAGAGCAUCCAAGGUGAAAGGGCUGGGAGAAAAGGAAGAGGGGAAGAGAGCAGGGGAGUUUGGUAAGGAAGGGAAGGCUAGAGAAUUGCAGAGAAGAGAGAGGAGGGGGUAAAUAGAGGGUUGGAGAAAAAGGGAGGGGAGGAAAGGAGAGGGAGCGAAGAGGUGAAGAGCGGGUUGGGAUGAGAAGAGAAAGGAAGGAGAAGAGAAGGGAAGAGAAAGGAGGAGAAGGGAGAGGAUGAGAAGGGAAGAGAAAGUGUAGAGAAGGGAUAAAUUAAACGCGUGUGUGUGUGUGUGUGUGUGUGUGUGUGUGUGUGUGUGUGUGUGUGUGUGUGUAACUGUAUCUACCUCAUCUGUCUAUUUAUGAAUCAAUCUAUCAAAAUAUUUAUCUCUCUAUUCAUCUAUCUAUCUGUCUAACUACCUACAUUUCUAUCUAUUUAUCAGUGUAUCUAUCAAUCUAUCAAUUUAAAUACGCAUCUACUCAUCUAUCUUUCUAUCUAUCUAUCUAUCUAUCUAUCUAUCUAUCUGUUCAUUUGCUUACCAUGAAAAAUUAUAGAAAGCAAAAGUACGAGAGUUUCUGAUGAGCGUACGACGACGAGGGGACGAGGGGGAGGAGGAGGAGGAGGAGGAGG